GGGGAACACUGGAAAAAUCUGAUUAUUUUCCUUACUCCAAUGCACAAUCACUCUGAAACAUUUGGCAGCAUCAGGAAACAUGUCUGGUUGUCACAUCAGCAGUGGGAGUCGGGCUGAGGGAAAGAAACUGUUGACAUCUCUCAAGUAGAAGUCAAAUUGAACACCGUUCCUGGAUUCCCAGAAUGGCAGUGGAGGAUGUCACAAGAAAAGGAUUCAUGCAUCACUUACCAACUCCAGAU